rnacentral:tRNA from 1 species
GAUGUAGUAGCUCAGCGGAUAGAGCCUUCGCCUGUUAUGCAAAAUCCCGGCUUCGACUCCCGGCUGCUUCG